GCCGCAGUCCCGUGCUCACCCCUCAUCUGCCGCAUCUCAUUCACGGCUGACCACAAAUGGGAGGUCAGUUCCACUGUUACGUAACUUGCUGACAGUCACACAACCCACAAGCAGCAAGGCCAGAAUUUGACUCCUGGUCUAUCUCACUCCAAAGCCCCCAACAUGCCCGAAGGUACAACCCCAUAUGAAAUUUGCAGUUAAGAUUCUGUUAUCUGGCAGGGGCAGGAAGGCUUUUGAAUGAGGCUUGGACAAAUUGUUGGUAUGCAAGGAGCAGGGAGUUUGACGAUGGCUUUGCCUGCCAUGAAAGGGAGAAUCUCAGACUACAAAGGAAAACCAGCGCCUCUGGAAGUAGGACCUGGCUCCAGCCUGUGAGAGGGGCUGGCCACCCUCCCCAGAACACAGCAGCUGAA
rnacentral:lncRNA from 1 species